rnacentral:lncRNA from 1 species
GGGAUCCUGGUUGGUGGUCCUCACUAUGAGCGUAACUGGGCUUGGGGUGCUGCUAAUGGAGCUGCGUCCUGCAGGAACAUGGAGACCUAACUGAAGACCUCUCUAGACAGUCACUGGCAGCCAGGACUCAGGGACAAAGGAGAUGGAUGUGGGAAAUCUGGUCUGUUGACUUGAAGGCAGGUAACAAUUCAUUCUCGGGAAGUUCAGCUCUCACUUAACUGACAGCUAUGAGAAAGAGAAUUUAUCACUCAUUCAAAACCCAGCAGCACCCACUGCUUCUUCGAAGACCCUUACCUCCAAAGCUCCCUAAACUACCUUUAGUAAAGAAGAAAGUUCGUAUAGUACAAACAGGCUCUGCUAGAGAACCUCAGGAGGCCCGCAGAAAGUUCGACACCGAGGAAAGCGCUUUAGUGAAAAUCGACCAAAGUGUUUCUCAACCACAAAAACCUGCCAGCGUUCAAAACGUCUGUCUUGAUUAUGAGCAUGAUGAACCCGAAAGAGUGGUUAACAUUUUUCCGCAUCCACACGGUGUUCGCCGCCUUCAUUGGAAGGUCCCAAAGAGCGCCGCCGGUUCCAUGUUCAUUCCACGAUGUCUGUCCGCAUCUUCCAGAGUUUUUAGGAAAACACUAAGCCAAAUAAAAAGAGCCAGAAAGUCCUUGAAAAGCAAACAAGAUGAAGAUCUCACUAAAAAGCCAUUUAGCAACACUUUAGUUAUUUCCGAGGAGCUUUCCAAACCUUUACCCCCUUCU